UCCGGCGUAGCUCAAUAGGCAGAGCGGGUGGCUGUUAACCACUAGGUUGUAGGUUCGAGUCCUACCGCCGGAGCUA
rnacentral:tRNA from 1 species